CCUACGGGAGGCAGCAGUGGGGAAUAUUGCACAAUGGGCGCAAGCCUGAUGCAGCCAUGCCGCGUGUAUGAAGAAGGCCUUCGGGUUGUAAAGUACUUUCAGUCGUGAGGAAGGUGUUAAGGUUAAUAACCUUAGCAAUUGACGUUAGCGACAGAAGAAGCACCGGCUAACUCCGUGCCAGCAGCCGCGGUAAUACGGAGGGUGCGAGCGUUAAUCGGAAUUACUGGGCGUAAAGGGCACGCAGGCGGUUAAUUAAGUUGGAUGUGAAAUCCCCGGGCUUAACCUGGGAAUGGCAUUCAAGACUGGUUAGCUAGAGUCUUGUAGAGGGGGGUAGAAUUCCAUGUGUAGCGGUGAAAUGCGUAGAGAUGUGGAGGAAUACCGGUGGCGAAGGCGGCCCCCUGGACAAAGACUGACGCUCAUGUGCGAAAGCGUGGGGAGCAAACAGGAUUAGAUACCCCAGUAGUC
rnacentral:rRNA from 1 species